rnacentral:rRNA from 1 species
CCUACGGGAGGCAGCAGUGGGGAAUUUUGGACAAUGGGCGCAAGCCUGAUCCAGCCAUGCCGCGUGCAGGAUGAAGGCCUUCGGGUUGUAAACUGCUUUUGUACGGAACGAAAAGACUCUGGUUAAUACCUGGGGUCCAUGACGGUACCGUAAGAAUAAGCACCGGCUAACUACGUGCCAGCAGCCGCGGUAAUACGUAGGGUGCGAGCGUUAAUCGGAAUUACUGGGCGUAAAGCGUGCGCAGGCGGUUAUAUAAGACAGAUGUGAAAUCCCCGGGCUCAACCUGGGAACUGCAUUUGUGACUGUAUAGCUAGAGUACGGCAGAGGGGGAUGGAAUUCCGCGUGUAGCAGUGAAAUGCGUAGAUAUGCGGAGGAACACCGAUGGCGAAGGCAAUCCCCUGGGCCUGUACUGACGCUCAUGCACGAAAGCGUGGGGAGCAAACAGGAUUAGAUACCCUGGUAGUCCACGCCCUAAACGAUGUCAACUGGUUGUUGGGUCUUCACUGACUCAGUAACGAAGCUAACGCGUGAAGUUGACCGCCUGGGGUAAGGUACGGCCGCGAGUAGUUAAACGUUAAAGGUAAGUUAGACGGCGUGAGACGNGCCGACGGACGACGACGAGGGAGGAGG